rnacentral:rRNA from 1 species
AUUGAACGCUGGAGGCAUGCCUUACACAUGCAAGUCGAACGGUAACGGGCCUUCGGGUGCCGACGAGUGGCGAACGGGUGAGUAAUACAUCGGAACGUGCCCGAUCGUGGGGGAUAACGAGGCGAAAGCUUUGCUAAUACCGCAUACGAUCUACGGAUGAAAGCAGGGGACCGCAAGGCCUUGCGCGGACGGAGCGGCCGAUGGCAGAUUAGGUAGUUGGUGGGAUAAAAGCUUACCAAGCCGACGAUCUGUAGCUGGUCUGAGAGGAUGAUCAGCCACACUGGGACUGAGACACGGCCCAGACUCCUACGGGAGGCAGCAGUGGGGAAUUUUGGACAAUGGGCGCAAGCCUGAUCCAGCCAUGCCGCGUGCAGGAUGAAGGCCUUCGGGUUGUAAACUGCUUUUGUACGGAACGAAAAGCCUUCUUUUAAUACAGGAGGGUCAUGACGGUACCGUAAGAAUAAGCACCGGCUAACUACGUG